AGAAGCAUUAUGGAAAAACCUGGGACCAUGAGCCUGCAUGCCUGGGGUCUAGCUUUAGGCCAGCAACAAGCCUGUGCAAUCCUGGCUGGUAAAGGUGUCAUCAUACGGAGACUUGCGAAGUAAAAAUUCUUUCAUACUCUGGAUGGUUAAGAACUCCUUUCUUAAAGGAUGAUCAAGUGAGGCUGUGUUAAAUCCUGAAAGGCAGUUCCUAAAGUCUCCGUGCAGAACAUCCUGCCUCCCAUCUCUGCAGAUCUGGAAGCCAUUAGCUGUAGUUGGCUGAUCUCAGUUCCUGAAGGAAGGAGGGCGGAACACCAGUCUCUAAGGUAACGAGCACAGACAAGCUGGUAAACAUGUAUAUGUCGUCACCAUUGCCUGCCUGCGGAGAUAGCACCAGAAUGGAUUGACUUUGGGAGCUUUAAACUUUAAGACUGAAAUCAUUUGCAUAAUGAUGAAUAAACUGUAUGUUGAGAGUCAGGAAAUCCCAGGAAUAAACCCUUAAACUUUGG